rnacentral:rRNA from 1 species
UACGUAGGGACCAAGCGUUGUUCGGAUUUACUGGGCGUAAAGGGCGCGUAGGCGGCAUGACAAGUCACUUGUGAAAUCUCCGGGCUUAACUCGGAACGGCCAAGUGAUACUGUCGCGCUAGAGUGCAGAAGAAACAAUCGGAAUUCUUAAUAUAACAGUAAAAUACAUAGAUAUCAAAAGAAACACCUGAGGUGAAGACGGGUUGCUGGGCUGACACUGAUGCUGAGGCGCGAAAGCUAGGGUAGCAAACGGG